rnacentral:rRNA from 1 species
AUUGAACGCUGGCGGCAGGCCUAACACAUGCAAGUCGAACGAGUGGCGGAUGGGUGAGUAAUGUCUGGGAAACUGCCCUAUGGUGGGGGAUAACUACUGGAAACGGUAGCUAAUACCGCAUACCAUCGGAUGUGCCCAGAUGGGAUUGGCUUGUAGGUGGGGUAACGGCUCACCUAGGCGACGAUCCCUAGCUGGUCUGAGAGGAUGACCAGCGACACUGGAACUGAGACACGGUCCAGACUCCUACGGGAGGCAGCAGUGGGGAAUAUGGGACAAUGGGCGAAAGCAUGAUGCAGCCAGGCAGCGUGUAUGAAGAAGGCCUUGGGGUUGGAAAGUACUUUCAGCGAGGAGGCGGUACUCGCAGAAGAAGCACCGGCUAACUCCGUGCCAGCAGCCGCGGUAAUAC